UACAGAGGGGGCAAGCGUUGUUCGGAAUUACUGGGCGUAAAGGGCGCGUAGGCGGCGUGCUAAGUCGAACGUGAAAUCCCCGGGCUCAACCCGGGAACUGCGUCCGAGACUGGCAGGCUUGAAUCCGGGAGAGGGAUGUGGAAUUCCAGGUGUAGCGGUGAAAUGCGUAGAUAUCUGGAGGAACAUCGGUGGCGAAGGCGGCAUCCUGGACCGGUAUUGACGCUGAGGCGCGAAAGCCAGGGGAGCAAACAGG
rnacentral:rRNA from 1 species